rnacentral:tRNA from 1 species
GGUCCCGUGAUGCUCAGUUGGUAGAGCAUGGUGUUUGCAAUGCCAGGGUUGUGGGUUCGAUUCCCACGAGGGACCA